rnacentral:lncRNA from 1 species
CGUAUUGAUAGAUUCUUUUUAUCAUAAGAAUCUGGAUAAUUAUCAAAAUUUUUUAUUAGUAUUACCAAUAUUCUUUAUUCUUUAUAUUUUAGCACCCCAUUAUACUCUUUUUCUUUUUUUUCUUUUCUGCAUUUUAUUCUGCAAUUUUUGCCCAUUAUUCUGUAUUCCGUAAACCCCAAUCAGACCCUCUUUUAUGGAACAUUUUAAAAAGAAACUAUACGUUGUAAAACAUAUGAAACAUGUAUGUUCAUAAUCAAUAUACAU